AACGUAGGUGGCAAGCGUUAUCCGGAAUUACUGGGCGUAAAGGGUGUGCAGGCGGGGAAGCAAGUGGUGUAUGAAAUCUCCCAGCUUAACUGGGGAUAGGUUAUGCCAGACUGCUUUUCUAGAGGACGAGAGGGGGGGUGGAAUUCCGGGUGUAGUGGUGAAAUGCGUAGAGAUCCGGAGGAACCCAGAGGCGAAGGCGGCCCCUGGCUCGUACCUGACGCUCAGCCACCGAAAGGCAAUGGGGAGCGAACGGGG
rnacentral:rRNA from 1 species